rnacentral:rRNA from 1 species
CGUAGGUGGCAAGCGUUGUCCGGAAUUAUUGGGCGUAAAGCGCGCGCAGGUGGUUCCUUAAGUCUGAUGUGAAAGCCCACGGCUCAACCGUGGAGGGUCAUUGGAAACUGGGGAACUUGAGUGCAGAAGAGGAAAGUGGAAUUCCAAGUGUAGCGGUGAAAUGCGUAGAGAUUUGGAGGAACACCAGUGGCGAAGGCGACUUUCUGGUCUGUAACUGACACUGAGGCGCGAAAGCGUGGGGAGCAAACAGGAUU